UACAGAGGUCCCAAGCGUUGUUCGGAUUCAUUGGGCGUAAAGGGUGCGUAGGCGGUCGGGUAAGUCUGAUGUGAAAUCUCACAGCUUAACUGUGAAACUGCAUUGGAUACUAUUCGGCUAGAGAGUUGGAGGGGGGACUGGAAUUCUUGGUGUAGCAGUGAAAUGCGUAGAUAUCAAGAGGAACACCAGUGGCGAAGGCGAGUCCCUGGACAACUUCUGACGCUGAGGCACGAAAGCUAGGGGAGCAAACAGG
rnacentral:rRNA from 1 species